rnacentral:rRNA from 1 species
CAGUAGCCACGGUAAUACGAAGGGUGCAAGCGUUAAUCGGAAUUACUGGGCGUAAAGCGUGCGUAGGCGGUGAGUUAAGUCUGCUGUGAAAUCCCCGGGCUCAACCUGGGAAUGGCAGUGGAUACUGGCUCGCUAGAGUGUGUCAGAGGAUGGUGGAAUUCCCGGUGUAGCGGUGAAAUGCGUAGAGAUCGGGAGGAACAUCAGUGGCGAAGGCGGCCAUCUGGGACAACACUGACGCUGAGGCACGAAAGCGUGGGGAGCAAAAAGGAUUAGAUACCCCCGUAGUCCCUGUCUCUUAUAC